rnacentral:tRNA from 1 species
GCCUUGAAGUGAUUUUCAUGUUGAAUUGCAAGUUCAAAGGAGCAGUCUAAAGUUUCUGCCGGGGCUUC